UUUUUGUUUCUCAUUUUACUAUACUUGUCUAUGUUUUUAGAGAAUGAAAGAUAAAGAUAGACCCUUGAAUGAAAUACUUAGCAGAGUUUGGAAUUCUAAUGUUUUUGUUUACUUAAUUCUUAUUUUAACUUUGAUUAGAUGCUAUAUUUCUGAUAGCAUGUCAUUUUUUUUCUCAUUGUUUUAAAAAAUUCUGGCUUGUUGAUAUGGCAUAGGUAUUUACAUGGCGAGGCCUUUG
rnacentral:misc_RNA from 1 species